rnacentral:rRNA from 1 species
UACGUAGGGGGCAAGCGUUGUCCGGAAUUACUGGGCGUAAAGGGUGCGUAGGCGGUUUUUUAAGUCAGAUGUGAAAUCCCCGGGCUUAACUCGGGUGUUGCAUUUGAAACUGGGGAACUAGAGUGCAGGAGAGGGAAGCGGAAUUCCUAGUGUAGCGGUGAAAUGCGUAGAUAUUAGGAGGAACACCAGUGGCGAAGGCGGCUUUCUGGACUGUAACUGACGCUGAGGCACGAAAGCGUGGGGAGCAAACAGG